UACGUAGGGUGCGAGCGUUAAUCGGAAUUACUGGGCGUAAAGCGUGCGCAGGCGGUUCUGAAAGUCAGCUGUGAAAGCCCCGGGCUUAACCUGGGAACUGCGUUUGAAACUGGGAGACUUGAGUGUGGCAGAGGGGGGUGGAAUUCCACGUGUAGCAGUGAAAUGCGUAGAUAUGUGGAGGAACACCGAUGGCGAAGGCAGCCCCCUGGGUUAACACUGACGCUCAUGCACGAAAGCGUGGGGAGCAAACAGG
rnacentral:rRNA from 1 species